GCUGAAGGCAAAUCCUUGAGAUAUUUUUGCAGGAGCGUCAUUGCGAAACAGAAUCUGCAGUAGAACUAUGUCAUCUUCUGGUUCUGAGUGUGCCCUCUCAUUGCUGGCAGAUGGCAAGUAUUUAUUUGCUUGCUAGCUCUUUAGUGGAACUGGUCUUCUGUUUCCACUGUCGCCUCGUGUGACACAAACUGCCACCUAUCUCCCAAGGUUCUUUCUUUGUAACAGAACCCUAGUUUUUGGCUGGACUCAUUUCCCCAGUGGUAGAGGCUGCUGGCUGGUCAUGUCAUGAGCCCAGGUCUUCUUCUUGGGCACAACCAGAUGCCAUUUCUCAGCCUCCCUUGCAGUUAUAUGCAGCUGUGUGUUUGAGUUCUGGCCGUUAGUGAGUGGAAGUGAUGUGUCCCUUCUACUCACACUUCUGUAGUCCUGGCCUACAGAAACUCACAAUGGUUCUCUAUACUCUUUAUCUUUCCACAGCUUAAUGCAGUUAAGUAACAAGAUCUUGGAAGACAAGUGUUGAAGGUGAAAGAGGCACAAGAUAGAAGAAACCUGGGUCCUUAGAUCCUUGCUUGGAGGAAAACCACCUGCCAAUCCAGAACAUCAUUUUGGACUUCAUUUCAUAUUAGAUAUUAUGUUACCAAUGAGCAGGGACUAUGAUGAAUGUGUCUUUAGAACACCCAAUGAAGUGCCACUUGCCACAAGAAGCUAAGUCACAAUCUGAUGGCCAGAGGAGGCAAUCAUUCUUCCUACAGUUUUGUGCAUAAACCUUCCUGCCUCUCUGCUGGGGACCACCUAUGGGGAAAGGAAAACUUCUCUCUCAUGGCUCUCCUUUCCCAGGAAAACUUUAGCUCCUGUUGAGACCAACACCUUCCCUGGAGAAUGCAGAGUGAAGGGAUUAGGCCCAUCACAAUUUUCCAUUCAUGAUGUUGGGUCAAGCAAGGCAUCACACAGAAUGAAUAGAAACAGAAACAGCCCCACAUGUGAAGUAGGAGCCAUGCUGGAAUGAACAAGGGCCACGGUAUGGGUGAGUUACACGGUACAGAGCACAGGGGCUGACUGCUUUGUGCUCUUCCAGGUGGGAUCAUUACUUGCCAGCCUUCCAGCUGAUGCCAGUGGCAACAGCACGACAGGCUGAACUGGAUUCUUUAUGACUAUGUAUUCAUUAGGGGGAAAAAGCACUUCCAAUGCAAAUGAUUGAAAUGGAAACAAGAUGUGCACUCUGCUGCCUAAAUGAAAGCUCUACCAGGUAGGCCAUUCAAACUCAAUUAAGAGUAGCAAAACAGGAUCUAUCAGGACAGUGGCUGUAACCCCUGUCACAGAGAAUGGACAGUGAGCGGUCCAAAUGGAUUGGGGGGCAUGAAUGGCACCUGACUUACAGCAGGAGCUCAGCACUUUUACUCUCUUUGCCGCUUCACUGGAACCAGGAGAAAAAGACAUUAGGAUGAAGGAUAAUGUGUGAUACACACAUAAAGAUGAAAGCGAGAGGGACACAUGCAAUGUCACUUAUUGGAAGGACCACUUUAGGCUGCUCUGUCCUCUCUCCCCUGAAAACAUGUUCCACAUUGUUUUAACCAUCUGUGGCCCACUCUGGAGCUCAAGGAACCCUGGCCUUUCUGCUUUAUUGUGAGCACAGCCAUAUGAAACUGCAAUCUGGCAGCUGAAGGGGAAAGUACUUUUACUGUCUCUGCUGAGAAAGGGUUUGGAUGAAUCGAAUCCCCUGUUAUGCGUGAAAUUGUACCCUCUAGAAAGCUCUGUUGAUGACCCAACCCACGGUACCUGUGAAUGUGACCUUAUUUGAAAAUAUGGUCUUAUAAAUGUAAUCAAGCAAAGAUGAGAUGAUACUGAAUUAGGGUGGGCCUCCACCAACAUGACUGGUGUCCUUAUGAGAAGCAAGGAAGAGACAUAAGGAGAACAUGGUGUGACAAUUGAGACAGAGAUUGGAGUGAUGCAUCUACAAGCCAAGAAAUGUCAAGGGCCGUGAGCCACACCAGAAGCUAAGAGAAAGGCAUGGGACUGACCCUCCCCUAGAGCCAUCAGAAAGAGCCUGACCCUGGCGGCACCUUGCUUUUGGACUUCUAGACUCCAGAAUUAUGAGAAUAAAUUUGUGUUGCUUUAAGCCACUCAGUUUGUGGUAAUUUGUUAUGACAGUUCUAAGAAACUAAUCCACCCUGCUAAAGAGUAAAUGUCUGAUGCAAAACUCACUACAUGGAUGAAAAGGCUGAGAUAUUCCGAAGAGUCAUAAUGAACUGUGCCGUCAUCUACAAAGGAAGUGCAGCACUGCAACAACUCAAGAUAGAUUCUGGAGACGUGGCAGGACAGACGUGCCUACCAGACUAGGAGCACUUUCAGGACAGCGUCAUGCCUUGUUCUCCUCCACAUCCCUCCGUGCCUGAAAAUCAGAAAUGCUCAAUUAAAUGUUGAAAAUGUCAAUAAAUUCAUAGGAAAACGAUCUCAGAUAAGUCAAUAACGUUAUGUUAUUUUAUUUUAUUUUUGAAAUGGAGUCUUGCUUUGUCACCCAGGCUGGAGUGUAGUGGCACGAUCUCAGCUCAUUGCAACCUCUGCCUCCCAGGUUCAAGCGAUUCUCCUGCCUCGGCCCCCUGAGUAGCUAGGAUUAUAGGCAUGCACCACCACGUCCAGCUAAUUUUUGUAUUUUUAGUGGAGACGGAGUUUCACCAUGUUGGUCAGGCUGGUCUCGAACUCCUGACCUCGUGAUCCACCCACCUCGGCUUCCCAAAUUGCUGGGCUUACAGGUGUGAGCCACCGCACCCAGCCAUGAUUAACCUUAUUUUAUGAUGUCAUGUAAGUCCUUACCACCACCUUCCAUGAAGACGUAACUGACAAAGACAUCUGAUUUGAUGCUUUCAUUGGAGAAACCCACCCUUGGCCAUUGAAGAGCACAACUUUGGGUUUCUUUGAGAUUUAAUCUGGUCCUUGGAUUCCCAAAUGGCAGACGUGGCCAGUAACAGCUUUUUACAAAUCUUCAAAUCCCACUGACACUGGGAUUCUGCCCCUCAGACGUGGCUGUGGUUUUUUCACUGGCAGGGCAGGAUAUGUUACUCUCCGCUUAACAUCGGCCCACUCACAGUGUUAGUUAGCCUGCUGUUUCAUACAUGAAUCCAUCUGAAAUGCCUCCGAGUCUCCAGGUGAAGGGUGCUGCCAUCAGCAGCAGCCAAUAAAUGAAAUAAUACCAAAUAUAAAAUCAGCCACAUUGGUCUCCUGGAGGUAAAUAGAGCACAGGGGCGUUUCAUUUACUGAAAGGCCAGAAUUGCGAUACCUGUAAAUGUUGAAUGUGAAUGUGUUUUAUAAAGUGUAAAGGGCUGUAAAGAAGUCAGUUAUUAUGUUUAUUAUUGCUCCUGCUCUGUACACUUGAUCAAAUGACAAACCCAAAGGCUCACCUCUCUGGGCUCCGGUUUCCUUACUCAAAUGAGGGAAUUAUGUUUAAUAUCCCAAGCUCCCAACUAAAUCUUUUUUUUUUCCUUUGACUCUAUGAAUCUAUCAGCAGGAACUUCCAUCCAAAUUCCUGAAAUGUGGGAAUAUAUUUGAUGACGCUGUUUACAUAUAAUAUUAAUUUAUUUUGCAUAAAUUUUUCAGAAUAUGUUUUGUAUAACAUAGAAGAUGAAGGGGGAAAAAGUAAAGUAAGAUGGGAAAGUAGGCCAUAAGGAAGGAUAAGGAGAAACGCUUAAGAAAAUCCACCUAUUAUAAUAAUUAAAAUUCAGCUUACCUGGAAAGGGGAGGAGAGCAUUUAUGAUUAACAUGAAUGUAGUCUGUGCUCAUUGCAAAGUAAAUUUUCAGAAAAAAAGGGCAAAAUCUGAUUAUUUUAAUCGUCAGAUUAAAUGCAAUUAGAAAUCCCACCUACCUUUUAAAGUAAACAGCAAACUUAGUAUUUUACUACAUAAAAGAAACAAUUGAAAUAAUCCUAACUUCAGGUUAUCGUUGCAUAUAACAGAACAUUAUAUUUGAAAAUGAUCCUCAUUGAGUUUUUUGGAUUCAACAACUUUUUCUGUGGCUAAAAAUGUCCCUUGAGUUUCUGAAAUCUGCUAGAAUGCUGGGAAGAGCUGUGCAGAAAUACCUCCAAAGGGUCAGAAAGUAAUUUAGGAUUUUUAAUUCAAUGGAAUCAAUCUUUCUUGUGUAUUUUUACUUACUUUUUUAGACAAUAGGCCAAUGAUUGUAGGGUUUGUUCUAGCCUUGAAACCAACUCUCUGCAGAGCAAUUCCUGUUUCCACAAAGGGUGCAUCAGGAUGCAUGGGACCCCCGGAUCACAGGCCCCACGUGUGAACGAAGCAACACAGACCAUGGAUAACAGAGACCUCUCUAGGCUGCCAUGCCAUGAGCCACCCUGUAGAGAGGUCUAUAUGACAAAGCACUGAGGGAGACCCCCAGCCAACAGCCAGGGAGAAAGUGGAACCCUCAGUCCAACCGACUCCAUUGGAUGCAAUCCUGUUGGCAACCACGUGCAUGGACUUGGAAGAAGAUCCUGCCCCAGUCACACCUUCAGAUGGGACUGUAGCCUCAGACAGUAGUUGGACUGCAACCUCAUGAGAUACUUUGAGCCACAAGCUCCUGGCUGAGUCGUGCUUGGCUUCAUAACCCACAGAAGUUGUGGCUAAUACAUGUUUACUGGUUCAAGCUGCUAAGUUUUGGGAUAAUUUAUCAUACAGCAAUAGAUAACAAAUAUAGGUAGGUACAGGUAUUAUUUGCAUUUUACAGAAGAGGAAACUGAGGUUUAGAGAGGAUGGAAAUGAUGGAGCCAGGAUGUGGACCUUCAAAUAUGACUCCAAGGACUGCACAAUUGAUAACAAGAAUCAGUUUUGGAUAAUGUUAAGCAUAUUACUGUUGUUCAGUCCAGGUUGGUACUGUGCAGAAACUACGUGCUUCCAGACUCUAGAAAAGCUAAUAUGAGCAGAAAAAAGGAUGGUUUCCUCCCAAGCCAGGUAAAGAUUUUAAAAGAUACACAAGAAAAAAAUUAUAGAUCAUACAGGCAACGACAGAGCAUUAACAUUCCAUUUCUAACAAAGAUGAUCUUAGUAUUAGUCAGAGUUCUCCAGAGAGACAAGACCAAUAGGAGAUAGAUGGAUGGAUAGAUGGAUGGAUGGAUAGAUGAUAGAUAGAUAGAUAGAUAGAUGAUAGAUAGAUAGAUAGAUAGAUAGAUAAAGAGAGGAUUAUUAGGGGAAUUGGCUCAUAUGAUUAUGGAGGCAGAGAAGUCCCAUGACAAGCCGCCCACAAACUGCAUGCCUGCAGUAUGGCUCAGUCCAAAAGCCUCAGAACCAGAGAAGCCAAUGGUGCAACUCUGAGUCUGAGGCCAAAGGCCUGAGAACCCAGGGUGUCCUGGAGUCUAAAGGCUGAAAAGCCUGGAGUUCUGAUAUCCAAGGGCAACAGAAACAGGGUGUCCCAGGUCCAGGAGAAAGAAAGAAAGAUUUCUCCUUUCCUCUGCCUUGUUGUUCUAUGUGGGCCCCCAGCUGAUUGGAUGGUGCCCGCCUACAUUGAGGGCAGAUCUUUCCCACUCGGUCCACUGACUCACAUGCCAGUCUCCUCUGGAAACACCCUCACAGACACACCCAGAUUUGAGGCUUUACCAGCUCUCUAGGUAUUCCUUAAUCCAGUUAAGACCUAAAAUUAACUAUCACAGCUUCCCUGCCUUCCAGUCCACCACUCAAAAAUAACCAUUCUCAGCAGUUCCUUCUGUUCUCUAUUGCCUCAAAAUUAUGCAAAACACAGCAAAUGUGGAUGUACAUUUGCAUAUAUAAAAAUAUUGUGUGUGUGUAUGUGUGUGUGUGUGUGUACGCAUAUACAUGUACAGCUGACUCUAGAGCAACAUGAGGGUUAGGGGCACCGAUCCCCCAACACAGUUGAAAAUCUGCAUAUAACUCUUGACUCCCCUAAAACAUAACUACCAAAAGCCUAUUGUUGAUCAGAAGCCUUGCCAAUAACACAGUCAAGCAACACCUAUUUUAUAUGUUAUAUGUCUUAGAUUCUGUAUUCUUAGAAAAAAGUAAGCCAGAGAAAAGAAAAUGUUAUUAAGAAAAUCAUAAAGAAGAGAAAAUCUACUUACCAUGUGUCAAGUGGUAGUGCAUCAUCCUAAAGGUCCUCAUCCUCAUUGUGUUCAUGUUGAGUAGGCUGAGCAGUGGGGAGGAAGAGGAGGGAUUGGUCUUGCUGUCUCAGGGGUAGCAGAGGUAGAAGAAAAUCUGUGCAUAGUGGACCUGCACAGUUCAAGCCCAUGUUGUUCAAGGGCCAAUUGUGUACACAACACCACACACACGCACACACACACACACACGAAUGUGCACAAAAAUUUGGGAUCAUGGUUAUUUCUAUUAUUUAUUGCUACAUAACAAAUCACCCCCAAACGUAGUGGUCUAAAACAGUAGCAAGUGUUUCCCGGCUAAUUUUUUGUAUUUUUAGUAGAGACGGGGUUUCACCGUGUUAGCCGGGAUGGUCUCGAUCUCCUGACCUGGUGAUCUUCCCGCCUCCAUCUCCCAAAGUGCUGGGAUGUGUUUUGGUAUAAUUUUGUCAAGGUAGUAGUAAUCUAAAUUCAAGCAGUGGAAUUCCUGGAUCAAAGGGAACAUACAUUGAAAAUUACAAUUGCUAUUGUUAAAUUGCUCUCAGAUGAGUCUAUUAAUAUUAGCAACAUGACCACCAGUUAACAGUCCCCAUAACAAUAUUUAUGAGUUCCUUUCUCCACAUAUCUUCACAGGCACUAAUUAUUUUUGCCAAUUAGGUGAACACUUUAUAAUUUUUGCCAAUUAGGUGAACAAUGGCAUCCUGUUAUGAUUUGGAUAUGCAUUCUUAAUUUCAAGUAAGUGUGCUUAUCACACAUUUGUGUGACUUUCCUUAUAAGCUGCCCAUUCAUAUUCUUUGCCCAAUUUUUAAUUUAUUGAUUCGUGCCAGCUUUUCUUUAUUGGUUUGUACCAGCUUUUUAUAAUUUAAGAAAAUUAACCCUGUGUUUCUCAUAUAUGUUGCAAGUAUUUGCCCUGAUUGUCACAUUUUUAAAGGUAAUUUUGUCAUACAAAAGGAUGUAUACUUUUAUGGCAUUAAAUUUAUAAUUUUUUAAAUCUGUGGCUUCUACACUAGAAAGGACUUUGCUAGACAGAGAUGAUCAAUAAACACACCCAUGAUUUUUUAAACCUUAUGGUUUCAAAUUUUACCUUUAAAUUUUUUAUACACAUGGAAUUUAUUGGGGGAAAGAGUGUGGUAAGAAUGAGCUUAAUUUAUUUUUUUAAGUGGCUAGCCACUGGUUCCAACACCGUUUGUUGAAUAGCCCUUCUUUUCACCUCUUACAAGCAGCCUUUACUACUUUCACCUGUUCCACCCUCAUCAAGUGUCUACUGCCUACCCCUUUGGGUAGAUGAUGACAAUGACCUAGGAUUAGGGCAGAAGCUACUGUUCCUAUAAAGAGAAGGCCCUUUAUAUAACUUCUUACUACAAGCAUAUACAUGCCCUACCUUAGAGGCUAAGCUGAUCUGUCCACUCACCCCCACCCCCAGCCUCUCUGAGAUAAUUUUCCUUAUGCAUAUUUGGCAAUUCUUGCCCACUUGUUUUGUUUUUGUUUUUUUUUUUUUGAGACAGAGUCUCGCUCUGUUGCGCAGGCUGGAGUGCAAUUGCGAUAGCACGAUCUCGACUCACUGCAGCCUCUGACUCCCGGGUUCAAGCAAUUCUCCUGCCUUGGCCUCCCAAGUUGCUGGGAUUACAGGUGCCUGCCACCAUGCCCAUCUAAUUUUUUUUGUAAUUUUAGUAGAGACAGAGUUUUGCCAUCUUAGCCAGGCUGGUCUCAAACUGCUGACCUUAGGUGAUCUGCCUGCCUUGGCCUCUCAAAAUGCUAGAAUUACAGGCAUGAGCCACAGCACCCGGCCAGCACUUGAUCAUUUAUGGGUCAGUGCUCUAGGCGCAACCACUCUGUAAGUCACUUUCACAAAGUGUUCUUCAAGAUUAUUCAUUUUCUCCUCAAUAGAUGCAGAAAAAGCAUUUGACAAUGUUCAACAUUCUUUCUUGAUUAAAAAGUCUCAACGCUUUAGGUAUAGAAGGAAAUUUCCUCAACAUAAUAAAGGCUGUUUAUGAAAAUCCUAGAGAUAGCAACAUAAGCAGUGGGAAAAAUGGAAAGCUUUUCCUCUAAGAUCCAGUACAAGGCAGGGAUGCCCAUUCUUGCCACUUCUAUUCAACAUAGUAUUGAAAGUACUACCCAGAGCAGUCAGAUAAGAAAAAAAUAUGAAGGGCAUCUAAAUCAGAAAAGAAGUAAAAUUAUCCCUUUUUAUCGGUGACAUGAUCCUAUAUGUAGAAAACCCUAACAACUUCAAACACACAAAAAAAACCUGUUUAAACUAAUAAACGAAUUCAGUAAAGUUGGAGAAUACAAAAUCAACAUACAAAAAUCAGUACCUUUCUUCACAACAAUAAUGACUUAUCCAAAAAAUAAAGAAAACAAUUUCAUUAAUAACAUUAAAAAGAAUAAAAUAAUUAGGAAUAAAUUUAACCAAGUAGCUGAAAGACCUGUACACUAAAAAUUAUAAAACAUUGAUAAAAGAAGUUUAAGAUGACACAAAUAAUGGAAAGAGAUCCCAUAUUCAUGGACAGAAAGAAUUAAUAUUGUUAAAAUGUUCAUAGUACACAAAGCAGUAUGAAGAUUCAAAGCCAUCCUUGUCAAUAUUCCAAUUACAUUUUUUACAGAACUAGAGAAAUCAGUUCUAAAAUCUGUAUGGAAUCACAGAAGACCCCAAUAGCCAAAGUUAUUAAGAAAGAAAAACAAAGUUGAAGUCAUCAUACUUGGUGAUUUUUAAAUUUUACUACAAAUCUAUAGUAAUCAAAACAGUAUGGUAUUGACAUAAAAACAGACACAUGAACCAACAGAACAGAAUAGACAGUCCAGAAAUAAACCCAAACAUAUACAAUCAACUAAUUUUUGACAAGAGCACCAAGAAGGUACAAUGGAGAAAUCAGUCUCUUUAGUAAAUCGUGUUGGGAAUGCAAGAUAUCCACAUGAAAAUGAAUGAAGUUAGACCUUAUCUUACAACAGACACAAAAAUCAACUUAAAAUAGAUUAAGAUGUAAGUUAAGACCUGAAACCAUGAAACUCCUAGAAGAAAACAGGGGGAAAGCUCCUUGGCAUUGGCCUUGGCAAUGACUUUUUUUUAAAUAUUACAUCAAAACCUCAGGCAACAAAAGCAAAAAUAAAUAAGUGGGACUAUAUCAAAUUAAAAAUUUUCCACACAGCAAGGAAAACAAUCAACAAAAUGAAAAGAAUAGAGCCUAUGGAUUGUGAGAGAAUAUUUGUGUACCAUAUAUUAGUAAUUGCUGUUUUUGCCAUUACUUUUAAUGGCAUUAAUGGCAGUUUCUGCCAUUACUUUUAAUGGCAAAAGCCACAAUUCCUUUUGCACCAACAUGAUAUUUGAUACAGGGUUAAUAUACAAAAUAUAUAGGAACUCACACAACUCAAAAGCAACAACAAGAACAGAUAACCCAGUUAAAACAUGGGCAAAGCACCUGAACAGACAUUUCUCCAACGAAGACAUAAAAAUGGCCAGCAGGUGUAUGAAAAGGUGCUCAGCAUCACUAAUUAUCGGAGUAAUGCAAAUCAAAACCACAAUGUGAUAUCACCUGACAUCCAUCAAGAUGACUAUUACCAAAAAGAAGAGAUAACAAGUGUUGGACAGGGUGCGGAGAAAAGGGAACCCUUAUACACUGUUGGUAGGAAUAUAAAUCGGGACAGUCAUUAUGGAAAAAAUUGCAGGGGGUUCUCAAAAAAACACUAAAAAUAGAGCUACCUAUCAUAUGACUCAGCAAUCUCUGUGCUGGAUAUAUGCCCAAAGGAAAUUAAAUCAGUACCUUACAGAGAUACCUGCUCUCCCAUGUUCAUUGCAGUAUUAUUCACAAUAGCCAAGAUAUUGAAGCAACCUAAGUGUCCAUCAACUGACGGAUGGAUAAAGAAAUUGUUCAUCACAGGGAUUUGGUAAAAGCAGUUUCCCUGUGUUAGCACAACUUAUUGAGGGAUUGUAAAGGUCAGCCAAAGGAAAGGAUACAAUCAUGGUCUAACUCAGACCACAGACCAGUAUGGCUUGAACAUUUUCCUUAAUCAGUAUGCUUUUAUGCACACACACACACACACAUAUGCACAUAUAUAUACAUAUAGUGGAAUAUUACACAGCCUUUAAAAAGUAGAUAUUGCCAUUUUUGACAACAUGGAUGAACCUGGAGGACAUUAUGUUAAGUGAAACAAGCCAGCCACAGAAAGAAAAAUACUGUGAUUCAUCUUAUAUGUGGAAUCUAAAAAAGAAGUUAAAUAAGUAGAAAAGAGACAGUAGAAUGGCUGUUACUGGGGAUGGGAGAGGGAGAAGUGGGGAGAGGUCAAAGGGUGCAAAUGUAGGAUAAAUAAAUCUAAAGGUAUGGUGUACAGCAUAGUUAAUAAUAUUAUAUUGUAUACUGGAAAUUCGUGAAGAGAGUAGAUUUUAGGUGUUCUUAUCAUACACACACAAAAAAUAACUGCGAGAUGAUGAAUAUGUUAAUUUGCUUGACUGUAGUAACGAUUUCACUCUGUAUAUAUAUGUCAAAACAUCAUGUUGUAUGCCUUAAAUAUAGACAAUUUUGUUAAAAAGGGAAAAACUACCAAUGAAUAAAAUGGAAUUUUUAAAACACCAUUUGUCUCUGUAGAGUUGAAUCGCUGUAGGAGUUGAUAUUGACGUGACCCUUCUCUUUGUGAAGGCACAUGGCACUUUGCACUGUGUCAUGAAUCCUUUUGGUUUGGUGGGGUGGGUACCCCCUACCUCUAUUUAUGUGAUAAAAGCUAGGAUUAUACUGAAGGUCCCUUUACCUCAGUAUAAAAUUUGUUUUUGUUUUUUUCAAUUGCCUAAUCUAGGCUGCUUGGAAAAAGUUACAUUGGUGCCGGGAUUCAGCCCUUGCCUGGACAGAGGUGGCCGCUAGAGUCAUCAGCAUGGACACUGGCACCAGUGACUACAUAGGUCCCAGGAUCGUAGCCAGCCACCUCGGGUGCCUCCGGAGACCACUUGAGAAGUGCAGAGACUGUGGGCCAGCCCCUCAUUCUUGUCUGAGACAGUGAUGCCCUCCCCACUCAGUAAUUAUGCACAGCUAGCAGAGGUGGGAGCUGGGUUCUCCCACACCCUGCAGCAAAUCGGAAAUCCCAGGGUGAGGACAGGAGGAUAGAAUUGUUGUGCCAGCUCAGCACCCACUCCUCUUGUGUGCCCAGGCAGGCUGCUGAGAUCCCCCAGCAUUCUGGGCUGGGCAAGAACUCAGAUUUCCACCUGAGGUUGGAGAAGCUUCAGAGUUCAGCCCCUGACCAGCAGAGUCCUGGGAGAGAGGGCAGUGCUAGCAGAUAAAAUCUCAGCCAAUGGGGCUGUGCAGGUGGCCCCAAGGCCUCCAGCUCCACAGAUAAGAAUCAGAAGCACAGCCAUCUCAAUUAGAAAGCAAUUUGAGUUAUCACGCUAAUUAAAGGGGUGUGCAGGCACAAGACCUGACUAGAUCUAGAUCCCUAACGUUAACAAAAAUCAGAUGGUUGAGAAUAAGAAUUUCACAUAAAUAGAAAUGUGAAAGUACGAUGUGCAACUGAGAAGUUGCCAUGAUUUUUUCUUUUCAGGCUGUUGGCAGCUCUGAAAUGAAUGGCUUCAUUUAAUCACAAAAGAAGGAAUACCAGCAAGACCACCCAGGCCCCAGCUCCGGUUUUUCCUGAAGAAUUUGGCCGCAUCUCCCUUUUUGAAGGCAGAGUUUCAUCUUGGUUUUUGAAGGCGUCUCUCAUAAGAUGGCAUUUGAGCAGAGACCUGAGGAAGUGAAAGAUGGAGGGCUGAAGCUUCCAGUUAGAGGAACAAGCAAAGACCCCGAGCAGGAUCAGGAAAGUGUGGUAGAGACAUAAUCAAAGAUUCAGACAAAGAUAUAACUACAGAAUGCACAUGACGGUUUUGUUAAUACACCAAAAGGAAAAAAAUUAAAUAACGGACUCUCCCAAUAAAUUGUGACCAUCUAUAGUUUGGAAUAACAUGAAGAUUGUUAAAAACUAUGUUUACAAGAAUGGCAAUAACAGAGAAACACUUGCUAUAUAAUUUUCACAAUAACAAGGUGAAGAAAUAUUAUAUAUAUAUAUAAUAAAAUUCAAAUUUUUAAGAGAAAUUAAAAUGUAUAGAAAACAUUGGAAAAGGAUACACUUAAUAAUCUUUUUUUCAGCAUGGUAGAAUUGUGGGUGAUUUUUGUUCCCUUUAUAUUUUUUAAUACUUUGUACUUUUUAAUGACAAAUGUAUAUACUACCAUUUAAUGAUAAAAAUAUAUUUUUAAAAUACUGGAUAAGAAUUAUUCAAAUAAAUGCCUUAUUUAAAAGUUAAAUUGCAGACCAAGUGCAGUGGUUCACGCCUGUAAUCCCAACACUCUGAGAGGCCAAGGUAGGAGGACUGUUUGAGGCCAGGAGUUUGAGACCACCUUGGGCAACAGAGCAAGACCCUGUCUUUGCUGGGCAUGGUAGUAUGAGCCUCCAGUCCUGGCUACUCAGGAGGUUGAGGCAGGGGGAUUGAUUGAGCCCAGGAGGUCAAGGGUGCAGUGAGCUAUGAUUGUGCCACUUGCACCCCAGCCUGGGCAACAGAGCAAGACCGUCUCUACAAAUAAAUAAGUAAAUAAAUAAGAUACAAUAAAAAUUAAAUUGCAAAUGAAAAGUUACACUCUAUCUCAUCCUAUUGUAUACUAGAAAUUAUAAUUUUCCUCCAAUUCAUUACUUUGAUUAUUCUACAAAAUCAAGACUAAACUGGAAUUCAAAUCAGAAAGGCUAAGAAGCAAAGAAUAACAAUGGUGAACUUCAAGAUAAAUAUCCCACAUUAUUUUCAAGGCAGAGGCCAGUGUUGCCUUCUGCAUCUGUUUUGGGAAGAGUGCCCAAAGCCUUCAGAGGAGACAACCUUUUGUGCUGUGUCCCCUACUCCCCCCCCCAUUCUUACCCUGAAUAGCAUUCUUUCCAAAAAAGAAUAAAGAAUACUCAAGGAAAACUAUUAAAAUGCUUGGCAAAACUACACAGACAGACACAGAGGCCAAUUAAGUAUAAAUAUUUCACACCAGAACUGUCUUUUUGACCCAGCCACUAAUAUCUACCCGGCCACAGAUCUAAAUGUUUGGAUGAAAACGACAGAGCAGAGGAGGGCUGGUCAGCCAGCUGCAGAGGGGCGCCCCUUCGGAGCGUUCGCAUCUGCCUGAAGAAUAUGUGUAGUACGUUUUCCUAGAAGCAUGGAGGGGCAUGCGGGUUUGACCAUCUUCCUAAACCUGGAGAAGGUCACUGUUUUCCUUCAGGGAUUAUUCUGUCUCACCGCUUUUGUUUUUUGGUUUCCCUUGAUCUAAAACAAAAGGGUCUACUUUCUUCUUUGGAUUUUGAAGCUGUGGGUGCCUUUCUUCUCAGUUAAUUUUUUUUUUUGUUUUCAUCUGUUAAGACUUAGCUAGUUUAGGUUUUGAAAAUGAACACACUGACAGCCAUUGUGAGAAGAUAGCCUGGCCUUUUGGAGGACAAAUGCUGUGGGGUGGCGUAACCUUGAGGCUCAAGUCCUGGCACUGGCAUUUAGUGUGAGUCAUGCUGUAUUGCUUCACCUCCUGGGCUUCAGUCUCUCCAUCUGUGAAUGUAGAAUGACAAUACCUGCUGUGCUGUAAGGUCACUGUGAAGAUUAAAUGAGAUAAUGCUUUGUAACCUGUUGGCCUCUGUGCAGUUUAAAAUGAUGUUUUUCAUUACUUGGCUAAGUGCUGUACACCCACUGCUCUGUAGGCAAAAUUCAAACAAAAAGCUUUGUAAUGCUCCCACCCAUUGAAAACAUUACUAUGUUAGCCUCUAUAUACAUAAAUUAUUAUAACAAUACCUGGAAGGUAGGAAACACACUUUGAAUUAUAUUGUUUCUAAGAGUGAGGAUAAGGAUUACUUUCAUUCAUUUAUACUUUUUGGGCACCAAUAAUAUGUAUUUGUAAGAUGAGAUGGCCACUUUAUAGAUUGCAUCUUGUAUAUUAAGAAACAAUUAAAUCUAUUUUAAAAGUACAGCUAAAAACCUCCAUUUCCCGAAAUAGCGUGGAUUAGAUUACCUAAAAUCUUUCCUACUACAAAACAUCUAGAAAUGUUAAAAACCUGUAAUAUUCUUUUAAAUUCAUUAUUUGAAUUCCAAGAAAGUAAGAAAUAUCCCUAGGGAAAAAAAUGAAGAUGGAUCUGAACACCAAAAUGUAAGCACAAGCCAAUGUUGCAACAGCCUGGGUGGGGAAAGGGGAGUGAGAAAGUAUGAAGUUGCCAAUCUUAUUAGGCAAGAGGAUCUGCCUCUCUCAAUCUCUAUCUCUCUUUUUAAAAAAUUAAAUUAAAAAAUUUCAAGCACUCACAUAGAAUACUAUAUGACACCUCCAAAUACCUGUCACCUAGAUUCAUUACCAAAAUCUUGCAACAUUUUAUCUUUAUUGUUUGUAUUUUUAUCUUUGCUGAAGUUUUUACAUUGAAUCCUAGACAUCAUGCCAUUUCACUUCACAUAUUCUUAUAUGCAUAUCUAUUUAAACAGCACAGGAAAAGAGGUAUGAGUAUAAAAUCAAAGAAUUCAAACAGAGGCCUUAUAAUGUUAAACUUGAAUUGGAAAUAUUAGCAUGAACUCUCUCUUAAGAGAGAGUUUUAUCUCUUAAGAGAAAAGGCCUGGCAAAAAUGAAAACUCAGGAGCAAGAGGUCUUUGAUGACUUCCUUUUUUCUGACACUGAAAGAUGCCCCAGGAUCUUCUUGGACAUUUCUUGUCCCAAAUCUGUAAUUAUUCAUUUUUCCAAGGAAGCCUGGUCUUCUUAGUAAGAAAUGACACUUAAUGACCAAUCCAGGACUGACACAGAUCCUAGAAUAAGCAAACAAGGACCUUGAAGCAAUUACCAUAACUGUAUUCAAUAUGUUCAAAAAGUUAAGAAAGACAUGGAACAUAAAUUUUUAAAAUUAGACUUCUAGAGAUGAAAACUACAAUGUGUGAGAUGAAAAACACACUGAAUGGGAUGAGGGGAUUAACAGUAGAUUUGACAUUUUUUAAAAAGAUUAAUGAACUGGAGGACAUAAGCAAUAAAAAACAUUCAAAAUAAAAAAUAUAGAAAAAAUAAGUUUAAAACAUGAAAAAAGCAUCAGUGAGCUGUGGCACAACUUCAAGUUUUUAAUAUAAUAGGGGAUCCUAAAGAAGGGGGGAAAUAGAAAAAUAUCUGAUGAAUAAUGGUCAAAAUAUUCCCCCCGAUUUGAUGAAAACUGUAAAACUACAAUCCAGAAAGUUCAAUGAAUCUCAAGCACAAAAAUUAUGAAGAAAACUACACCAAGAUACAUCAUAAUAAAAAUACUCAAAGCCAGUGAUAAGAGAAAAUUUUCAAAGCAGUACAUUUAUCUACAGAGGAACACAUGUAAGGGUGAUAGCAGACUUCUCAUAGGAAACAAUGCAAGUGAAAAGACAAUGGUGCAACACCUAAAAAAAGCACUGAGCACUAAGUGAAAGAAAAACUCUGUAAACCUAGUAUUGUAUACCUAGUAAAAUAUCUUUCAAAAAUAAGGUAAAAAUAAAAACUACUUUCAAACAUAUGAAAGCUGAAAGAAUUAAUCACCAGCAGACAUACACAAUUAAAC
rnacentral:lncRNA from 1 species